UACAGAGGUCUCAAGCGUUGUCCGGAAUCAUUGGGCGUAAAGAGCGUGUAGGCGGCCCGGUAAGUCUGUUGUGAAAGUCCAGGGCUCAACCCUGGAAAGCCGAUGGAUACUGCCGGGCUAGAGUUCGGAAGAGGCGAGUGGAAUUCCUGGUGUAGCGGUGGAAUGCGCAGAUAUCAGGAGGAACACCUAUAGCGAAGGCAGCUCGCUGGGACGACACUGACGCUGAGACGCGAAAGCGUGGGGAGCAAACAGG
rnacentral:rRNA from 1 species